AACGUAGGAGACAAACGUUAUCCGGAGUUACUGGGCGUAAAGGGCGUGCAGGUGGUCUGUUAAGUCUGGCGUGAAAGCUCCUGGCUAAACCGGGAGAGGUCGUUGGAUACUGGCGGACUAGAGGACGGUAGAGGCGUGUGGAAUUCCGGGUGUAGUGGUGAAAUGCGUAGAGAUCCGGAGGAACACCAGUGGCGAAGGCGACACGCUGGGCCAUACCUGACGCUAAAGCGCGACAGCAUGGGGAGCAAACGGG
rnacentral:rRNA from 1 species